ensembl:lncRNA
CUUCACAGUCCUUUUGCCAAUUUGAGAGGAAUAAUGCUAUACCCAGUGGUAUCAAAGGCUGUGCUGAGAUCCAACCAACAGCAAAUACUCAUUUCCUAGUUUUCGUUGCAUAUUUAGUUAUCUUUACAACAUAACCACAGGAAUUAUUCCCUGGUCUCUCUAAGGACUACUCCACAUUAAAACUAUAAAUGAUGCUGUAAGUCAGGUAUUGUAGAAAAUGUCUGAAAGAAUAUGAACAGAAAGAAAUUGUAAACAGCCCCUUUCUUGUGUACUUUGUCUACAGAUGCUGACAGACACAAAAUCAUUCAAGUGGCUUUGCUGCAAGAAGGCUCCUGGAUUCAGAAUACCCACUCCACUCCUGGUAAAGAAAAGAUGUCCAUGGGUCCCCACUGCUCAUCCUUGGUACACACCGGAACCAUCCUCGGGGCAGAUCUUCAUCGGGUGUCAGAGAAAUGGCAAAGCCGUUUCAUUCAGGCACCUUGAGAAGGGCAAAUAGGAUUUGUUGACACAGAGGAGUGGCUGCAGUUUGUAAAUUCAAGAAUCGUUUGUCGUAGAGUACUGCUACCCUUCCUUUAACAAAGAACUUGCUGCUGCUUACUGCAUGAAAGAUAAUCUACCCAUUACUCUGUUUAUCACUUCAUUGUACUUCUCAUCCAGCUGCUGUUUCAUCUACAAGCAGUUUGAAGCAAGCAUGACGUCUUUAGAUGAUGUACUUUGAAAAGAUCCCAUUCCUGUGAAAUCCAGGUGCCCAAAGGGAAUGUUUAUGCAAAAAAUAAAAUGUAGUGACAAAACAUAAGAGUGCAGUCACAAAACGUUGAGGACAAAUACACCAGUCUGAACUGUUUCCUGGCUUUGAUGGUCCUGACUGCAUUGAUCUCUGGAAGAUUCCUUGGGUGGAACUAAGAGCUGACCCAGAGCCAGUCACCAGUAGUUCUGUAGGAGGUCUGUCCUGCAUAGAUUCAUGAUAAUGAAACAAUAGAUACAUUUUUCUUUUCCUUAAUUAAAUUAGAGUCCUGGAGGUUUAUACUCCCAAUGUGCUACAUUAAAAUCCUGCUAUAGGAUUUGCCUAGAUAUAUCCUUAAUUAUAGUAUCUUGUUGACUUCACAUUGAUGCAGCUUCCUGAGUGCAUUUGUAUUGACAAAUUUGAGUUGUAAAGGAUAACUUGGAAUCUGGGAAGUCAUAAAAAAAGAAAAGCAGCAGGGAGGUAACGUAAAGGGAGGCAGUGUAAUCUCUUUUAUAUGGCAUGCAAUGCUCGGAGUUUUAGCCCAGAGAGGUGGAGUAGUGGAGCAGGAGAUGGAGCGAUCAAACUUUCUUUACAUUGUCUACUCGACACUUUUUCUGUCGGGAGAUGACUAAACCUUAGCUAGAAAAGAAAAAGCAAUAUUCUAAUAGCUUUGAAUAUCUAAAAGGAUUGUGAAUACUAGGAUAAGAAUUGGAUAAGAAUUAAAAAUGCUCCCAAAAAGUAUACUGUUGAAUGUCUGAAGCCUGUACCAACCCUGAGCAUAUAUGUUAUUGCUUUUAUGGUUAUUUCUAAUAAUAUUACUGGAGAAGUAAAAAAUCUAAGGUGAUACUAAUGAGAAAUUAUAGAAGAGAUUGUAGGUCCACAGAUAUGGGAUCUGUGCUGCAUAGCUAAAAAGCACCAGAACUUAUGCUGCCUUUCAUUUAUAAAUGGAGGUUCUGCUGUC